UACAGAGGGGGCGAGCGUUGUUCGGAAUUACUGGGCGUAAAGGGCGCGUAGGCGGCCUGCUAAGUCAUACGUGAAAUCCCUCGGCUCAACCGGGGAACUGCGUGUGAUACUGGCGGGCUUGAAUUCGGGAGAGGGAUGUGGAAUUCCAGGUGUAGCGGUGAAAUGCGUAGAUAUCUGGAGGAACACCGGUGGCGAAGGCGGCAUCCUGGACCGAUACUGACGCUGAGGAGCGAAAGCCAGGGGAGCAAACGGG
rnacentral:rRNA from 1 species